GUUCAGCUUCUGUCUGUUGCCGCUGUUGACGAUUAGCUGCCAAAUUAUAGUCUUCUUCAAAUUCUUUAUUUACACUA
rnacentral:sRNA from 1 species